rnacentral:rRNA from 1 species
UGGGGAAUAUUGGACAAUGGGCGCAAGCCUCAUCCAGCCAUGCCGCGUGUGUGAAGAAGUCCUUUUUGUUGUAAAGCACUUUAAGCUAUGAGGAGGCUACUUGGAUUAAUACUCUAGGAUAGUGGACGUUACUCGCAGAAUAAGCACCGGCUAACUCUGUGCCAGCAGCCGCGGUAAUACCGAGGGUGCGAGCGUUAAUCGGAUUUACUGGGCGUAAAGCGUGCGUAGGCGGCUUCUUAAGUCGGAUGUGAAAUCCCUGAGCUUAACUUAGAAAUUGCAUUCGAUACUGGGAAGCUAGAGGAUGGGAGAGGAUGGUAGAAUCCAGGUGUAGCGGUGAAAUGCGUAGAGAUCUGGAGGAAUACCGAUGGCGAAGGCAGCCAUCUGGCCUAAUACUGACGCUGAGGUACGAAAGCAUGGGGAGCAAACAGG